AGAGUUUGAUCCUGGCUCAGGAUGAACGCUAGCGACAGGCCUAACACAUGCAAGUCGAGGGGUAGGGUAGCAAUACCCGAGACCGGCGCACGGGUGCGUAACGCGUAUGUAACCUGCCUUACACAGGGGGAUAGCCUUCCGAAAGGGAGAUUAAUACCCCAUAACAUUAUCUUCCCGCAUGGGGAGUUACUUAAAGCUACGGUGGUGUAAGAUGGGCAUGCGUAUGAUUAGCUAGUUGGGGGGGUAACGGCCCACCAAGGCGACGAUCAUUAGGGGUUCUGAGAGGAAGAUCCCCCACACUGGUACUGAGACACGGACCAGACUCCUACGGGAGGCAGCAGUGAGGAAUAUUGGUCAAUGGGCGAGAGCCUGAACCAGCCAUGUCGCGUGCAGGACGACUGCCCUAUGGGUUGUAAACUGCUUUUGUAUGGGAAGAAACGACGGUACGCGUACUGUUUUGCCGGUACCAUACGAAUAAGGAUCGGCUAACUCCGUGCCAGCAGCCGCGGUAAUACGGAGGAUCCGAGCAUUAUCCGGAUUUAUUGGGUUUAAAGGGUGCGUAGGCGGGAGAUUAAGUCAGUGGUGAAAGUUUGCGGCUCAACCGUAAAAUUGCCAUUGAUACUGGUUUUCUUGAGUACAGUUGAGGUAGGCGGAAUGUGGUGUGUAGCGGUGAAAUGCAUAGAUAUACCACAGAACACCGAUUGCGAAGGCAGCUUACUAAGUUGUAACUGACGCUGAAGCACGAAAGCAUGGGGAUCAAACAGGAUUAGAUACCCUGGUAGUCG
rnacentral:rRNA from 1 species